rnacentral:rRNA from 1 species
GUCUACGACCAUGCUACUCUGAACAAGCUUGAUCCUGUCGGAUCUCAAAAGCUAAGCAAGGUCAGGCCUGGUUAGUACUUGGAUGGGAGACCACCUAGGAAGACCAGGUGCUGUAAGCA